CACUGCAACCAAAAUUUUACAAGAUGGUCAUUUUAUAUUUAUAUAGAUGUGCCCUAGAAGGAACUUUUGGUAUGCUUUAACUUGUUAAAACAAGAUGUUGAAUUGUGUUCUCUAUUGACAACAGCUCGACGAAGUGAGCGGUCUAACUGGCGCAGAAGAACGACUAGAGCGGGACCGCAGAUUAGAGAUGAGCCGUUAUUUAGCCUAUAGUGACAUAAAUACAGCGUUCAAAGACAAAUCAGUGAAAAUUUUCAGCUAUUACAACAAUGUCACAGUUCGUUUCCGGCGGAAAUAACAUAUUAUUCUGGGAAACAUCACACGGUGGAGCGCCCUCUACUAAUCGUCCACAUUCCUUGGAAGCUGAUGAUACAGUGCCACCUGUAAAAGUGAAACAAACGUCACAGUCAAACCUCGUAAAAUCGGCUGCAAACUAAACCAUCAGCAAGGUGAAAGUGCUCAAUAGCAAAAUCACAACACACAGAUCGAGCAUUUGCCCGGACACAGUCGCACAACGUCAGCCGAUACUAGUAAGUGAUGUCGUCUGCUUAUAGAACACAACGUCAGCCGAUACUAAUAUGAGAGAAUCCGUGAACAAUUCAGAUUUAUGUAAUUAUCUCCCUUCUGUCCUCAAAAACUAU
rnacentral:lncRNA from 1 species